ACGGGGGGUGCGAGCGUUGAUCGGAAUCACUGGGCGUAAAGCGCACGUAGGCGGUGUCGUAAGUCGGUUGUGAAAGCCCUCGGCUCAACCGGGGAACGGCAGGGGAUACUGGGAUGCUUGAGUGCCGGAGGGGGUGGCGGAAUUCCAGGUGUAGAAGUGAAAUCCGGAGAUACCUGGGGGAACACCGAUGGCGAAGGCAGCCACCUAGACCGGAACCGACACUGAGGUGCGAAAGCGUGGGGAUCAAACAG
rnacentral:rRNA from 1 species